GACCAAAUCCAGUUACUAGAGCCCAGGCAAAUGAGAACAGGUAAGAUUCCAGUCUCCCCCUCUUACAGGCAUCUCUGACUAUGAGUGAUUCUCUUGGAGCCCAACCAUGACAAGAGACAGAACUCCCCACCACAAAGACUGCACUGCAUAUCUCAUAAAGGAGAGCACACUAUGGACAGCCUCCUCCUCUCCUUCCCAGCCCCCUCCUUAUGUGGGCUUCGGGUGAGCAUUGGUAGUAGUAGGACUGGCUCUGCUACGUCAGCAUAGACUCUGAAGAGAGGUGUGUGAUAUUGACUGCUGAAAGGCCCCUAGAGGCUCUCUUCAUACUAUUCAACAUUCUGUUACUGUCAUUAAAAAAUAAUGUCUACAGAGAUGUCCUGAUACACAUGUCUCUUCAUUUUCUGACAGACUUUGGUUGAAUAUGGAGCAAAUGUCACCAUGCAGAACCACGCUGGGGAAAAGCCCUCCCAGAGCGCUGAGCGGCAGGGGCACACCCUGUGCUCCAGGUACCUGGUGGUGGUGGAGACCUGCAUGUCGCUGGCCUCUCAAGUGGUGAAGUUAACCAAGCAGCUAAAGGAACAAACAGUAGAACGUGUCACGCUGCAGAACCAACUUCAACAAUUUCUAGAAGCCCAGAAAUCAGAGGGCAAGUCACUCCCUUCUUCACCCAGUUCACCGUCCUCACCUGCCUCCAGAAAGUCCCAGUGGAAAUCUCCAGAUGCAGAUGAUGAUUCUGUAGCCAAAAGCAAGCCAGGAGUCCAAGAGGGGAUUCAGGUUCUUGGAAGUCUGUCAGCCUCCAGCCGGGCUAGACCCAAAGCAAAAGAUGAAGAUUCUGAUAAAAUCUUACGCCAGUUAUUGGGAAAGGAAAUCUCAGAAAAUGUCUGCACCCAGGAAAAACUGUCCUUGGAAUUCCAGGAUGCUCAGGCUUCCUCUAGAAAUUCUAAAAAGAUCCCACUGGAGAAGAGGGAACUGAAGUUAGCCAGGCUGAGACAGCUGAUGCAGAGGUCACUGAGUGAGUCUGACACGGACUCCAACAACUCUGAGGACCCCAAGAAUACCCCAGUGAGGAAGGCUGACCGACCAAGGCCACAGCCCAUUGUAGAAAGCGUAGAGAGUAUGGACAGUGCAGAAAGCCUGCACCUGAUGAUCAAGAAACACACCUUGGCAUCAGGCGGACGCAGGUUUCCCUUCAGCAUCAAGGCCUCCAAAUCCCUGGACGGCCAUAGCCCAUCUCCCACCUCAGAGAGCAGUGAACCAGACUUAGAAUCCCAGUAUCCAGGCUCAGGGAGUAUUCCUCCAAACCAGCCCUCUGGUGACCCUCCACAGCCCAGCCCUGACAGCACUACUGCCCAGAAAGUUGCCACAAGUCCCAAGAGUGCCCUCAAGUCUCCAUCUUCCAAGCGCAGGACAUCUCAGAACUUAAAACUGAGAGUUACCUUUGAGGAGCCUGUGGUGCAGAUGGAGCAGCCUAGCCUUGAACUGAAUGGAGAAAAAGACAAAGAUAAGGGCAGGACUCUCCAGCGGACCUCCACAAGUAACGAAUCAGGGGAUCAACUGAAAAGGCCUUUUGGAGCCUUUCGAUCUAUCAUGGAGACACUAAGUGGCAACCAAAACAAUAAUAAUAACUACCAGGCAGCCAACCAGCUGAAAACCUCUACGUUGCCCUUGACCUCACUUGGGAGGAAGACAACAGAUGCCAAGGGAAACCCUGCCAGCUCCGCCAGCAAAGGAAAGAAUAAGGCAGCAUAAUGACAUCAAUAGAAAAAUGAAGAAAUCCUACAGCAUAAAGCACACUGCUGAGCCAGAGUCAAAAGAACUCUUCUUGUAAAUCACUUUUUAAAUUUUCUCCCACUGAUGCCCUUUGGAAAUUAUUGGAAAUUUCUGGACUAUCCUCUGUGGAAAGAGAACCAUGAUAACAAUGCCUCACCAGCAGAAGAACAGAAUAUCAGGAUGCCUUAAAUUUAUAGUAGUAGACUGUAAAAGAUUCAUUUUGGGGUGAUAUCUGUAUAUAUAACUUGUUUUUUUAAAAGAUGCUGUUUAAAAGCAUGAUUGGGAAAAUGUAUGUUUUUUAAGAGUAGAUUGAUUCACCCUACCCACAGGACGUUCACUAAGCCACUGAUGCCAUUUUAUAUUUCAUCAAUUGCAUGAGUAUUUGCUAAUGUUGAUUGAACUUCCCUUUCCCCAUAAUGUGGGCAGAUUUGGCUCAGCUCUUUCAUGAGAUCAGGUCGGUGGUAUUGUUUUCUGUCAAGAGUGUUUUUUCUGUCAUUUCUACUUUUUGUAUAAAGGAAAUAAAACAAUGUUAACAGCC
rnacentral:sRNA from 1 species